UUUGCCAACCUUUCUAGGUUUUCAUUAUCGCCGAGAUACAAAUUUCCUACCCACCCGCCCACACAUCUCUCUCUUCAUAAUUCUAGCAAGCUGAUGCCUUGCGAAAAACAGCUUCCAACGGCCUAGCUGUAUUGGUUUCCACGGGAGUGGGUGUGUGUCGGUGUUAAUUGGUUUUGAAAAUAACAUUUUACAUGCUAGGGAUGGAUUUUGAUUAAUUGACUUUGAAACUUACAGACCCGAGACUCAAAAGGCUUCCCAUAUUUGACAUAAUCCACUUUUAAUGCAUCCAUGCACCAUGAAAUCUCAGGGAUCUGUGCAACAGAUUAGUUUAAUAGACACAAGGAAACUGCAUAUAUCCUGCACUGGAAAGGAUAUAAAGGGUCAACAUAUGCUAAAAUACAGUUGCCACCCCGAGCCAAUCUCUUCAAAUGUCAAAGUUGAAUGCACAAUAUGAAAGUCAGGGCACUUGAAAAAAUUCUAACAACUAAUAUUUAAUAUUAAUAAUUAAAAAUAUAAAUUUUGAAAGCAAAAAAUAAUAAAUAAUAUUUGUUAUACUGUUAAUUUAAAUUAGGAAAAUAAAACUUAUUUGUGGCAAUGAUA